UACGUAGGGUGCGAGCGUUGUCCGGAAUUAUUGGGCGUAAAGGGCUCGUAGGCGGUUUGUCGCGUCGGGAGUGAAAACCAUGGGCUUAACUCAUGGCUUGCUUUCGAUACGGGCAGACUAGAGGUAUGCAGGGGAGAACGGAAUUCCUGGUGUAGCGGUGAAAUGCGCAGAUAUCAGGAGGAACACCGGUGGCGAAGGCGGUUCUCUGGGCAUGACCUGACGCUGAGGAGCGAAAGUGUGGGGAGCGAACAGG
rnacentral:rRNA from 1 species